UACGUAGGGUGCGAGCGUUAAUCGGAAUUACUGGGCGUAAAGCGUGCGCAGGCGGUUCGUUAAGUCAGAUGUGAAAGCCCCGGGCUCAACCUGGGAACUGCAUUUGAAACUGGCGGGCUUGAGUGUGGCAGAGGGGGGUGGAAUUCCGCGUGUAGCAGUGAAAUGCGUAGAGAUGCGGAGGAACACCAGUGGCGAAGGCGGUUGCCUGGAGCUUUGCUGACGCUGAGGCGCGAAAGCUAGGGGAGCAAACGGG
rnacentral:rRNA from 1 species